AGCUACCGCUAUUGGAGUUCGAUUAAGCCAUGCGAGUCGAGAGUCUUAGGGACUCGGCGUACCGCUCAGUAACACGUGGGUAACCUGCCCUAUGCUGGGGAAUAACCUCGGGAAACUGAGAAUAAUGCCCCAUAGUCCACCAUGCCUGGAACGGUUGGUGGAUGAAAGCUCCGGCGGCAUAGGAUGGGCCUGCGGCGUAUCAGGUCGUAGGGGGUGUAACGUACCCUCUAGCCAUCGACGCGUACGGGUGUUGGGAGACAUAGCCCGGAGAUGGAUUCUGAGACACGAAUCCAGACCCUACGGGGUGCAGCAGGCGCGAAAACUUGGCAAUGCGAGAAAUCGUGACCAGGGAACUCCAAGUGGCUGGGGUAAGACCCAGUCUUUUCUUGACUCUUCAAAGGUCUUGGAAUAAGGGGUGGGUAAGGACGGUGCCAGCCGCCGCGGUAAUACCGGCGCCUCAAGUGGUAGUCGAUUUUAUUGGGCCUAAAACGUCCGUCGCCUGUUUGGUACAUUCGUGGGUAAAUCAACCAGCUCAACUGGUUGAAUUCUGCGAGCACGGCCAGACUUGGGACCGGGAGAGGUGUGGGGUACGCUCAGGGUAGGGGUAAAAUCCUGUCAUCCUGAGCGGACCACCUGUUGCGAAGGCUCCACACUAGAACGGAUCCGACGGUCAGGGACGAAGCCUAGGGGCACGAACCGGAUUAGAUACCCGGGUAGUCCUAGGUGUAAACGCUGUGGACUUGGUGUUGGGAAGGUUCCGAGCCUUCUCAGUGCCGAAGCGAAGGUGAUAAGUCCACUGCCUGGGGAGUACGGUCGCAAGGCUGAAACUUAAAGGAAUUGGCGGGGGAGCACCGCAACCUGAGGAUUGUGCGGUUU
rnacentral:rRNA from 1 species